rnacentral:rRNA from 1 species
CCUACGGGAGGCAGCAGUGAGGAAUAUUGGUCAAUGGCCGGAAGGCUGAACCAGCCAUGCCGCGUGAAGGUCAGUGCCCUAUGGGCGUUAAACUUCUUUUGUGCGGGAGCAAUCAUGGUCACGUGUGGCCAGACGAGAGUACCGUACGAAUAAGCAUCGGCUACCUCCGUGCCAGCAGCCGCGGUAAUACGGGGGAUGCAAGCGUUAUCCGGAUUUAUUGGGUUUAAAGGGUGCGUAGGUUGUGAGGUAAGUCAGCUGGGAAAUGCCCCCGCUCAACGGGGUGAAGGGCCAUUGAUACUGACUGGCUGGAAUGCGGAUGCCGUGGGAGGAAUGUGUGGUGUAGCGGUGAAAUGCAUAGAUAUCACACAGAACACCGAGUGCGAAGGCAUCUCACGAAUCCGCGAUUGACGCUGAUGCACGAAAGCGUGGGUAUCAAACAGGAUUAGAUACCCGUGUAGUC